GGGCAGAUGCGCUGACUCCGGAGUCCGAAAGAGCCCUGCCGCUAGACUCGCAGCAAGUACUCAAUGAAUUUGUAGUCAUCAGGAACUGAGGAACCUGAAGCUUGUUCCCAGAAACCUUGGGGAUGUCAGACAGGGUUGAGGACAUCACCCUCUGAUCUUUCCCGUCACGUCUCGACAAUCCCACUGCAAGCGUGACUUCCAGUUUACAUGUGUUUGUGAGGCCAGCAGCAACAGGAGCGGUGCCCCCUGCACACGCGUGUGCCAAAUGUUGCUUGUGUCACGGAUGACACCCCAUGUCUUCCCUCAGGCGCCAGAAUCUAACAGUCAAGACUGUUCUCCAGUGUACCCUGUCCUGAAGCCAAAGAUCCUUGUGUCCGGGGGCGGAAGCGUGUGAAAACCCACAAGGGCAGCCCCCCCCCCGGCCCUCGCUCCAGUGCCCAGGGUGAGAGAAGAGGCCCGCAUUUGAUGCCUGACUGACCAAAUCUUCUGCCUGAUAGUUGGCUCUAUUCCCCGCGGUUCAGAGGACCGCGAUCAGAAGUGCAGUGGCUGAAGAGGAGAGGCCGCGGUAAUUGUAUCAAGGUCCGCUGAGAUUUCCUCAAACAGUUCCCUGUAAAAGGAAGAGGAGUCCCAGGGCGCCAGCAGAAACUACUCCAGAAUGGGCAAAAAAAUUCCCCACUCAUAGACGAAUAACAAUCAAUUUAUAGCGGGGGGUGACCUGUGCGUCAACUCACAUACAGCGCCUUCGCUACUGUCACCCCUCCGGACAAGACAAAUACAGCUUUACCACAACAGCACUCACUGACUGGUUAAACAUAUGCUAGAAUGGACAAAAAUAACCAGAUGUUCUGUGGAUUGGCAAAUUGUUACGGAAGAGCAAUUAUGCUAUUUAAUAAGAAUGAUACACAUACUAUAAUAAAUAUAAAUAGUUGUUAUUACAAUUAUCACACAUUUACAAACAUCUACAAAUAAAUGAGCCAGUGAAGAUAUACAAAUUUAGACAUACUGUACAUUUUCCACUGCCCACUCAAUUCACUCUAUCAAGAUGCUUUUGACCUGCUGUGUGCAAAAAAUAAUCUUUUUUUACUCCAGAGAAUGAUGGCAUGAUACACACUAUCACAAUACGAUACGCAAAAUUAUAUACAAUAGAUUCGCUGUAGAGACCCCCUUUUAAGAAGAAGGUACUACUGAAUUUUUAAUGACUUAUCUGAGUGCGGAGUUCAAACGGCCUUACAGGAAUCCGGAACACAAGCGCUCGUUAAACUCCACAGCCCCAUAUGGUCGUCAAAUGUGGCAUGUUCCUGAGCAUAUUAAAUGAAUCGCCUUGCAUGCUUCUUUAUUCCGGAAUUUUCCGGCACUGAUACUGUGAGAAGUGGGGCUUAAAGAUGUGGCAACAUUUUUGAAGGUUCACGAUCUGUAAUCCUACAUUGUUUCCUGUCACCUACCAGUGUCACAUCGGUGGGAAAAUACUUAAGUAAACACAGGCAAAAGAAAAAUUAUAGUUCAAUGUCAACGGUAAAUGGGACAUGGAUUAAAUUGCUAGUUUGGGGACAAAUUAAUAAAUCAAUUAAAUAUAAAUAUAUGCAUAGUUAAAUGAAUUAGCUUAAAAGAUUUAUAAAAUGUAUAAUAUCAAAAACCACACGUUUUCUAAUGUCUAAAGAUGCCCAAAUAUAACCAUCAAAAAGAAACUAGGCAGAGUAGAAGUACCGUAUUCCAUACGCACAUUUAUUCCAUAUGCAUAUUUCAUAGAUAUACUUCAUAAUCCAUGGAUCUCAAAUUUGUUGUGUUUACUUGCAUUGAAGAGUUGGAUUGAACUGAUGAUUGAAGAUGUCAUAAAUCCAAUUUCUCAGGACAUACAAUACAAUAACUGAUUGAGCAGUUUCAUCUCGGAAAAGCCGUGCGAAGCACCAGUGAUGCUAACGGGAUUCUUAAAAAAAACUUUUAUUUUAUUUGUUAAUCUCAAUAAAUAUGUACACUUCUCAAAAGAAAUUCUACUGGAAUUCUAUACUACUGGACACUAUACAAUAUAAAUCAGAGCGCUGGUCAGAGUCGCAUGUGUUGUGAUCCAGCUUCCGUGAAUCUGGUCUCUGGUCCUGUGGUAGAACAGCAUAGUAAAGCUGAUGUAUAUCCUGAGACAAGUUUGAAUGUAUUAAGGCCAGACUUCUUAAAGACUGAUUAUUGUGCUGUUUUUUUAAAAAAAAUAAAAAUUUUAAGGAUUGCUCACAUAGACCAUCUGGACAAACACAACAAUGCUACAUAAACAGUCAAAUGCAAACAGAUACAUCUCUGAGGUCAUUACUCAAUGAAAAGCUCAGGGAUGAUUGAUUGUUAUGGAUCUAGUUUAGAACCACUUGUCCUGGACACACUGGAGUGGGACGGGUGGGACUAGAGCCUAUCCCAGUCUGUACAGGGCUGAGGAACGUCCCAGACAGGAUUCCAGGCAAUUGCAAGGCUCACACAAGCAACGAACAAUUUAAUGAUGCAAAUCAAACUAAUCGCAUCUCAUUGGGCUGCAGGAGGGCCAGGAGAAAACACACUCAACUAGAGCAGAUAAUACAUCUUAGAAGAAAAUAUCCCCCCAACAACUGUGUACUGGAUAAGUGAUUAGGAGAGGAAAGGAUGGAGGGGGGAGUUUCCCGAAGUCUUCUUAACGCUACGUCGUUUGUAAGUUCUAGCUAUUAACAUAGACGACGUAGCGUUAAAAAGGCUCUGGGAAACUCACCCCAGAGUGAUCCCAGCUCUACAUCUUGUUUCACCAGACGUUUUGACCAGAUAAUCUAUCUGAAGCUAAGCCAGUUUAGGCCUGCCCAGUAUCUGGAUACGUGACUAACUGGGAAAGCUGGGUUGCUGCUGGGAGAGGCGUUGGUGUGGCCCAUCCUGUGGUCUGUGUGGA